AGAGUUUGAUCCUGGCUCAGGACGAACGCUGGCGGCGCGCCUAACACAUGCAAGUCGAACGAGCGAGAGAGAGCUUGCUUUCUCGAGCGAGUGGCGAACGGGUGAGUAACGCGUGAGGAACCUGCCUCAAAGAGGGGGACAACAGUUGGAAACGACUGCUAAUACCGCAUAAGCCCACGGUGCCGCAUGGCACAGAGGGAAAAGGAGCAAUCCGCUUUGAGAUGGCCUCGCGUCCGAUUAGCUAGUUGGUGAGGUAACGGCCCACCAAGGCAACGAUCGGUAGCCGGACUGAGAGGUUGAACGGCCACAUUGGGACUGAGACACGGCCCAGACUCCUACGGGAGGCAACAGUGGGGAAUAUUGCACAAUGGGGGAAACCCUGAUGCAGCGACGCCGCGUGGAGGAAGAAGGUCUUCGGAUUGUAAACUCCUGUUGUUGGGGAAGAUAAUGACGGUACCCAACAAGGAAGUGACGGCUAACUACGUGCCAGCAGCCGCGGUAAAACGUAGGUCACAAGCGUUGUCCGGAAUUACUGGGUGUAAAGGGAGCGCAGGCGGGAAGACAAGUUGGAAGUGAAAUCUAUGGGCUCAACCCAUAAACUGCUUUCAAAACUGUUUUUCUUGAGUAGUGCAGAGGUAGGCGGAAUUCCCGGUGUAGCGGUGGAAUGCGUAGAUAUCGGGAGGAACACCAGUGGCGAAGGCGGCCUACUGGGCACCAACUGACGCUGAGGCUCGAAAGUGUGGGUAGCAAACAGGAUUAGAUACCCUGGUAGUCCACACCGUAAACGAUGAUUACUAGGUGUUGGAGGAUUGACCCCUUCAGUGCCGCAGUUAACACAAUAAGUAAUCCACCUGUGGAGUACGACCGCAAGGUUGAAACUCAAAGGAAUUGACGGGGGCCCGCACAAGCAGUGGAGUAUGUGGUUUAAUUCGACGCAACGCGAAGAACCUUACCAAGUCUUGACAUCCCUUGACAGGCAUAGAAAUAUGUUUUCUCUUCGGAGCAAGGAGACAGGUGGUGCAUGGUUGUCGUCAGCUCGUGUCGUGAGAUGUUGGGUUAAGUCCCGCAACGAGCGCAACCCUUAUGGUCAGUUACUACGCAAGAGGACUCUGGCCAGACUGCCGUUGACAAAACGGAGGAAGGUGGGGAUGACGUCAAAUCAUCAUGCCCUUUAUGACUUGGGCUACACACGUACUACAAUGGCGUUAAACAAAGAGAAGCAAGACCGCGAGGUGGAGCAAAACUCAGAAACAACGUCCCAGUUCGGACUGCAGGCUGCAACUCGCCUGCAC
rnacentral:rRNA from 1 species